GAUGAACGCUGGCGGCGUGCUUAACACAUGCAAGUCGAGCGAGAAGUUUUGAAAAGAUUCUUCUGUUGUAAUUUAAAAUGGAAAGCGGCGGACGGGCGAGUAACGCGUAUGCAACCUGCCCCAUACAAAGGGAUAGCAUUUGGAAACGAAUAUUACUACCUUAUGAAACUUAACUAGUGCAUGCUAGGUAGGUCAAAGAUUUAUCGGUAUGGGAUGGGCCGGCGUCUGAUUAGCUAGUUGGUGAGGUAACGGCUCACCCAGGCGACGAUCAGUAGCCGACCAGCGGAGGUGAACGGCCACAUUGGAAGGGAGGCACGGGUCAGACACCUUCGGGAAGGAGCAGUGGGGAAAAGUGGACAAGGGGGGUAACCCUGGAGCAGCAACGGCGCGUGAACGAUGAAGGGCUUUGGGGCGGAAAGUUCUGUUAUAGGUGAUGAAAACUGACAGUAACCGAAGAGAAAGCCCCGGCUAACUCCGUG
rnacentral:rRNA from 1 species